UGCGCAGGUGGCGGCGCGCGUGGGGGGUGAAAUCGCCCGGCUUAACUGGGCGGGGGCCUUCCAGACGGCGUGGCUUGAGCAGCGGAGGGGGACGUGGAAUUCCGGGUGGAGCGGUGAAAUGCGUAGAGAUCCGGAGGAACACCGACGGCGCAGGCAGCGUCCUGGCCGCUUGCUGACACUGAGGCACGAAAGCUGGGGGAGCAAACA
rnacentral:rRNA from 1 species